UCGAACGCGAAAGUCCCGCAAGGGAUAAGUAGAGUGGCAAACGGGUGAGUAACGCGUGGGUGACCUGCCUUCGAGUGGGGGAUAACGUCUCGAAAGGGACGCUAAUACCGCAUAAUAUGCCGCCUUUUAAGAGGUGGACAUCAAAGCCUGGGACCGCAAGGCCAGGCGCUUGUAGAGGGGCCCGCGUCUGAUUAGCUAGUUGGUGGGGUAAUGGCUCACCAAGGCAACGAUCAGUAUCCGGCCUGAGAGGGCGGACGGACACACUGGGACUGAGACACGGCCCAGACUCCUACGGGAGGCAGCAGUGGGGAAUUGUUCGCAAUGGGCGCAAGCCUGACGACGCAACGCCGCGUGGAGGAUGAAGAUUUUCGGAUCGUAAACUCCUUUCGAUCGAGACGAAUGGCCUUUGGGUUAAUAGCCCGAGGGAAUGACGGUACCGAGAGAAGAAGCCCCGGCUAACUCCGUGCCAGCAGCCGCGGUAAUACGGGGGGGGCAAGCGUUGUUCGGAAUUACUGGGCGUAAAGGGCUCGUAGGUGGCCAACUAAGUCAUGCGUGAAAUCCCUCGGCUUAACCGGGGAACUGCGUUUGAUACUGGAUGGCUUGAGUUUGGGAGAGGGAUGCGGAAUUCCAGGUGUAGCGGUGAAAUGCGUAGAUAUCUGGAGGAACACCGGUGGCGAAGGCGGCAUCCUGGGCCAAUACU
rnacentral:rRNA from 1 species